GAGGCCUGCCUGCCCAGUGACAAACGUUCAACGGCCGCGGUAUCCUGACCGUGCAAAGGUAGCAUAAUCACUUGUUCCUUAAUUGGGGACUGGAAUGAAUGGCCUCACGAGGAUUCAACUGUCUCUUACCUCUAAUCAGUGAAAUUGACCUCCCCGUGAAGAGGCGGGGAUACAACAACAAGACGAGAAGACCCUAUGGAGCUUUAAUUUUCUGUCUUAACUACUAAAUAACUAACCCUACUGGGAUAAAAAAAAAGAGAAAUAAGUCAGUAAUUUCGGUUGGGGUGACCUCGGAAAAUAAAACACCCUCCAAAGGAUUUUAACCAAAACAAACAAGUCAAAGUAUUAAAAAUCAAAUUGACCCAUUUCUUUUGAUCAACGGACCAAAUUCCCCUAGGGAUAACAGCGCAUUCCUAUUCAAAAGUCCAUAUCGACAAUUAGGGUUUACAACCCCAAUGUUGGAUCAGGACUUCCCAUGGGGGCACCACCUAUUAAGGGUUCGUUGGUUCAACAAUUAAAGCCCUACGGGAUCUG
rnacentral:rRNA from 1 species